rnacentral:rRNA from 1 species
AUUGAACGCUGGUGGCAUGCUUUACACAUGCAUGUCGAACGGUAACAGGCCGCAAGGUGCUGACGAGUGGCGAACGGGUGAGUAAUGCAUCGGAACGUGCCCAGUCGUGGGGGAUAACGCAGCGAAAGCUGCGCUAAUACCGCAUACGAUCUAUGGAUGAAAGCGGGGGACCGUAAGGCCCCGCGCGAUUGGAGCGGCCGAUGUCAGAUUAGGUAGUUGGUGGGGUAAAGGCUCACCAAGCCAACGAUCUGUAGCUGGUCUGAGAGGACGACCAGCCACACUGGGACUGAGACACGGCCCAGACUCCUACGGGAGGCAGCAGUGGGGAAUUUUGGACAAUGGGCGCAAGCCUGAUCCAGCAAUGCCGCGUGCAGGAAGAAGGCCUUCGGGUUGUAAACUGCUUUUGUACGGAACGAAACGGUCCUGGUUAAUACCUGGGGCUAAUGACGGUACCGUAAGAAUAAGCACCGGCUAACUCUGUGCCAGCCGCCGCUGUAACAC